AUACGGAGGGGGUUAGCGUUGUUCGGAAUUACUGGGCGUAAAGCGUACGUAGGCGGAUUAGUAAGUUAGGGGUGAAAUCCCGAGGCUCAACCUCGGAACUGCCUCUAAAACUGCUAGUCUUGAGUUCGAGAGAGGUGAGUGGAAUUCCUAGUGUAGAGGUGAAAUUCGUAGAUAUUAGGAGGAACACCAGUGGCGAAGGCGGCUCACUGGCUCGAUACUGACGCUGAGGUACGAAAGUGUGGGGAGCAAACAGGAUUAGAAACCCUUGUAGUCC
rnacentral:rRNA from 1 species